GCUGGGCAUGGUGGUGUGUGCCUGUAGUCCCAGCUACCUGGGGAGCUGAAGUGGGAGAAUUGCUUGAGCCCAGGAGGUUGAGGCUGCAGUGAGCUCAGAUCGCGCCACUGCACUCCAGCCUGGGUGACAGAGCAAGACCCUGUCUCAA
rnacentral:SRP_RNA from 1 species